UUCAUUUUGCCGACCUCAGAGCAGU
rnacentral:rRNA from 1 species